UACGAAGGGGGCUAGCGUUGCUCGGAAUUACUGGGCGUAAAGGGCGCGUAGGCGGCCUGUUAAGUCGAACGUGAAAUCCCCGGGCUCAACCCGGGAACUGCGUCCGAUACUGGCAGGCUUGAAUUCGGGAGAGGGAUGCGGAAUUCCAGGUGUAGCGGUGAAAUGCGUAGAUAUGUGGAGGAACACCAGUGGCGAAGGCGACUCUCUGGGCUGUAACUGACGCUGAGGCGCGAAAGCGUGGGGAGCAAACAGG
rnacentral:rRNA from 1 species